GAACGCGAAGAACCUUACCCGGGCUUGAACUAAGAGUGACUUAUCUAGAGAUAGAUAUUUCUUCGGACACUCUUGGAGGUGCUGCAUGGUUGUCGUCAGCUCGUGCCGUGAGGUGUCGGCUUAAGUGCCAUAACGAGCGCAACCCUUUUCCUUGGUUGCCAUCAGGUAAUGCUGGGCACUCCAGGGAUACUGCCAUCGUAAGAUGUGAGGAAGGUGGGGAUGACGUCAAAUCAGCACGGCCCUUACGUCCGGGGCUACACACGUGUUACAAUGGGGGGUACAGAAGGUCGCUACCUGGUGACAGGAUGCCAAUCUCCAAAACCUCUCUCAGUUCGGAUUGGAGUCUGCAACCCGACUCCAUGAAGCUGGAUUCGCUAGUAAUCGCGCAUCAGCCAUGGCGCGGUGAAUACGUUCCCGGGUCUUGUACACACC
rnacentral:rRNA from 1 species